CACAUACCCGCCUUCACAUAAACUAUGAAGGGACUAGAGAUUAUUUCUCGGCGGCUCAGGUACUUCAUGCUUCCGCUACUGCCAUAUUUACACUGCCAGAAAAAAACACAGCACACCCAGAGCAGAGCUAGAGUAGUUCCCAGUACACCUUACCUUCUGGAACUGAUCCAAACUCUUCAACUCAGCCAGGGUUCAGAGAGUUCACCAAUCUGCCGUAACUGUCAACCCGUCACAAUCUCAAGAGUCUGUAUAUAACAAUAGUCUAUAUAUACUCAUUUCUAUUUAUGUAAAUCGUAGUAGGGUCAGAUUUCUUAUAGCCUAUAUAGGGGAUAAUAUGCACAAUCGGGAACAAACGCACUCAUGCACUCUCCACCUUCAGCUGGGAAGGGGGCGUUGGGAUUCGUUCAGCACCUCAUCGGGCCGCUCUGCUCGCGAAACAUGGAUAAACACAACACACACACACACACACUCACACCUAUAACAUCUGCUUUCUUAUCUGCACAGUGCAAAGCAAGUGAGGUUCCCUGCUUGCUGUUUGCGGCCUAGAAAAGCUGAAAAAGAGGCUUGUCGAACCGUCACCGAAUGACCGGAGGUCUGCUGGCUUCACCAGUGCCCUGCAUAGUGGGCAGGUGCGCUCCCUCUCAAACCUGCCAUCAUCAAGAUAAAAAACGUUACAAGGGAAAUGCUACAAGAUACUCUGAAUGUUGAGAUCAUGAAAAACUGUAACUAGAGGGGAGUGGACGGAAUGUCUGUGCAUUAUCAUCUAUUUUAUUUCCUGAAACACAAACUAGCUGUGCCAGUUCAAUAUGUGAAUUCUCAUCAGUACAUGGCUUCCUCCGUCGUGUGAUCAAUGGUCGGAGCUCACCGAUGAUGGAGGAUGUGGAGCUUCACUACCAUUCGCAGCUCCAGCCAUGGUCCGGAUCAUACUGAGGCUCUGGACCCUCCCUCAUAAACUCACCUUGAGGACAUCUAUUUUAUUUCCUGAAACACAAACUAGGUGUGCCGGUUUUGUAUGUGAAGUAUCAUCAGUUUGUGAAAAACACAUAUGACAGUACUAUGUGUGUGUGUGCAAAAUAAAACCGAGUGUUUUUAUUGUAUAAUAGUUUUGCACCAAAAGGUUAUUCUGAAGCGGGUGGCUAGUGUUGCAGUAGUUCAGAAUGUUGAACCCACAUUGAUGCAGGCGCUCAUGAGUAGAGGCAGGCGCACCCAUGAGCAUUCUUCCAAUGUGGUGUUCGCCGCCGGCGCCACAGUCCGUUCACGCCCGAUAGCCGAGGCCGUUCAAUGACACAACGACAAGGUCUGGCCUUCCCCGUUCCUCUUUUCAUGUUGUGGCAUUAUCGAACUCGUGUAAUGACUGAUUCUGUACUGUUGUUGGUUGCAUUGGUGAUGCUUUUACAAGUGUGGAAAACAAAGCUAGUGUCCUACUUUGCUUGUAUAUUAAGAGUUCGCCUAUGAGUCUCCUACAUGUACUGGUGAUGCUACUUCAUCUCUACUUGUUGUGAAAUAAGGUUUUUGUUGAUUUGCUUACAAGAAAUGAAAUAUCCUUCUUGAUGUUUCUUUGUUGCCAAAUAAAGCUAUUGUUUGAUUGACACCACCUUCUUGCAUCAAGUGACACCAAGCAUGUUUAAUUGAAUGCUCACAAGAAAUGAUCACACAUCAAAGUGACACCCUCAGUUUAAAACUAAUUUUAGAUCAGCGCAAUUCUUAUUUUUAUUCAGUACUCUUCGUGCGGAUGAUUCCUGGUUGCUUCUCCUGUUCUGAACUUGUUGCUCAAUUGCACAGGUAUUGCCAGAGUACUGUCUAGUCUGAAGCCAGCUACACAUUCGCACAUGAGUCGGUGCUCCUAAAGUGCUCUAAUUAGCAAUAGAAAAUGACAAGGGAGUGCAUCCAAAAGAUAGGUGGCAAGCAUGCCUGCUACAGUGUGUUGAUAACUGAAUUGAAGGAUCUUCAGUAUAUGAACCACAAAAAGAAAGGUGCAUCCCGUACAAACAAAGAAGUGCAUGCAGUACAUCAGCUCAAGAUCCAAUGGUUCAAUUAUCUUUUGGUUUGGCGAAAUGCUUCUCUUGCAGGUUUUUUGUUUUGCUGUAAUUUUCAUUUAUAUCACAGGAUGUAACACCAUCUCUGAAACAAAUGCAUAUGUUCAGUUAAGAACUUGGCGUGGUGGGUGUACUGUUGAUAAUCUGAACUUGUUUCUCUCAACUACAGAAAACAUGUAACCUUUGUUGUGCUCCUCUGCAAUUUCUCUAGAAAACAUGGAUUGUUUUGGUUUAAGUACAUCUUGAAUCCAUGUGCCAUCUUGCUAUCUUUUUUGGAAUCAAUAAAUGGCAUCGACAUUCCACAGAACAAAUGUCAACUAGGAUGCAUGUGUAUGUAUCAAAUAUGGCACGAUUUGUUCCUUGCGCCGGAGUACACAAACGCAAUGGUGCGGAGGCCGUACAAAUUUCUUAUAUCUAUUGCUACAAGUUCGAGUGAUAAAUUACUGUAAGCUCACAUGUUAUUGUCCAAUUAGUUCAAAUGAUCAUUGUUUUCUUCAUUGAAUAAAACAAAAAAGAAGUACAAAUAUUUAUUACAAAAAUCAUGAAAAAAUUUCAAGUUGCAAACAAAAGGGAGUACAUACCUUCAUUGCAAAAAAUGUUCGAGUUUGAACAAAACAAAAAGAAAACAUCCAUCAAUUCAACUAGUGAAACCAUGCAAAUUCAGACCUAAUGGUGUUGUCAGUUUGGACGAGAAAAAAAAUCUAAAAUUGUAAUCCCAAAAAAGGUUCAGUUCUAUAAGUCCAUGUCUUGAUAGGAGGCCGUUCAAAACAUCCUCACAUAUAAGUCCACUGUUUAUUAUGCGAGUUAAAAAAUGACGUCUCAUCCCUGAAAAAACGGUCAGUACAAACACAAAAGUUCAAAUUUGCUAAUAUCUACAGUACUGGUAGUUCAUUUUGUACUAGUCCCGACUGUCUAUAGUUCAUUUUGCUAAGAAAUAUUCUUCUACAUGUCUUUACAUCGGCCGUAGAACAUGUAUUACUUUUGGAAGUUAAGUCAAUGUAUUUCAUCUCUUUGAUCGGAUUAAUGCUUGAUUUUGGUGAUGGCAAUUUUUAUCUUUGAUAUCCUGAAAUGAGUCAAUAACUUCGAAUUUUUUUUGCUAGCUUUCGAAAUGUAAAAACACAACAAGUUCAACAUGAUGUCCUAGAUAAGUUUGGAAAAAAAAACUCAAAAAAAGAAACCCCACGAAAAUUCAAAUGGUAAAAGUUCAAGUCGUAAAAUGAGAGAAGUUCAAAACAUGGUUGAAAAAAAUAUUAGUUAAAAUAAACACACACAAAACAUUUUCUUUAAAAAAUUGUCAUUCAGUUCAACGAUAUAAACCAUGCAAGUUCGCGUACGAUGAUACCGUGAACCGUUGAAAAUUUCUCUCCACAUUUUCUACUCUUUAUAUGAGUGCUGAAAAGUACAUGUAUUACUAGCAUAUAAGUCCAAAAAAUAAACCGCAAUCAGUUCCGCGAAAAUGCAAAGAAGUUCAAAAAAUAUAUAAAAAAUUGUAAGUACCUCGCCCCCGAGCUUCGUCUUCUUCCUCGCCGAGACACGUGACAGCCACCCCAGUUUGGGCGUAGUAAGUACCUUAGUAUGAGUUAAAACGGUGGUCCAUUCGGAAUAAAAGAAAUGGUAGAAAUUCAAAUUGUAAAAUUCAAGCAAAAAAGGAAACCCCAUGAAAAUCCUGCUUAGUAAGUACCUCGGUACAAGUCCUAAAAUGAGAGAAGUCCAGAACAACAUUGUCAAAAAAAUGUUGAUUUAAAAAAAGAAACAAAACAAACACAUUUUCUUUUUGAAUAAAAUAUCAUUCAGUUCGAUGAUACAAACCAUACAAGUACAGGGGCGACGAUACAGUAAACCGUUGAAAACUUACGAGAAAAAUAUUACCCAAAAAACAGAGCAAAGUCUAGUUAGUGAAAACACGCUUACUACAAACCCAUGCAAGCAUCAGUACAAGUACCCUUUUUCGGAACCGUUCAAAAUUACUCUACAAAAAAUAGCUCAGUACAAACAUACACAUAUAUCAGUACGACUACUCUGUUUUUCAGACGAGAAAACAGCAGGAUCCGUCAUGCCGUAUUCAAAAUUACUCUUAAACGGUUACGAAGUAGAGAAAACGUUCAACAUGACUAAGUUUCGCAUUUUCGAUAGCUAUCCAACGGUAUAUUAUUUGCCAUAUUUCGACAAACUUUUUAAAAAAUCGCGUUCAAAAUCAAUUUUGACCGUAUUCGAAUUCGUUUUUAAACCGUAAGGAAUUAGAAAAAUAUUUCUAUACAAAAAAGUUGCGCAUUUUCCAUAGCUUUUCAACGCUGUAUCAUUUGCGUCAAUCCGAUAAACCGUUUGCAAAAAAUUGCGAAAAUACAUUUCGCCCAGAAUUUCACCGUUUUUCAAAUUACUUUUAAAUCAUAUAGAAUUAGAAAAAACAAUACAUAUAUGGAAGAUGCGGAUUUUCACCAGCUUUCCAACACCAUCUUAUUUGCUCAAUUCCGACAAACAGUUUAAAAAUUGAGUCCAAAAUACGAUUCAAGUUUUCGGUUUUGAAAAAAUGGUUUUCUCAAAACUGCUCUUAAACCAUAAUGAUUUUGCAAAAACGUUCAAUAUACUUGAAAUAUGGUUGUCAAGAGCUUUCCAACGAUAUAUUACACGCCCCGUUUCGACAAAAAAAUUACAAAAAGUUUUUGAACUAAAGAAGACGAUCUGUUAAACUCAAUUGAAGGCAUCAGUUCAACCGCUUCGAAAACAUCAGUACAACCACCUGAAACCGUCAGUUCAAAAAGGGUAACAGAAUAAUAUUCUGUUACACGUAACAGAAUAGCCCAGAUGUAUAUAUAUAUAUAUAUAUACAUAUAUAUAUAUAUGAGUUUUAUGUCCUCUACAUCAUUCACUUAUUGAUAUUUCUUCAAGUUGAUUUCAUCUGCAAAGUGAAUGUGAUCGGACCCUUCCCCCUCUAUGCUAAACUCAAGCCAGUCUAUUCACAAAUUCCUCAUAUGCGUUCUAUUUGAAACUCGUUCAAAUUCUUCACUGUGUCCUUGACAGCUGAAGAAAUUGUGAACGGAACUUUUAACUUAUCUUUUAUGAAUUUUCGGCUUUGCCGCUCAAACCGUUCCGCUUUUCACGACAAUACUUAUCUAUUCACCCACGAUCCUACAUGAUCACCACCUCUCCAGUACGUGGGUGACACAUGUCAGGCGAAUGAGAAGAGGCCAGGGGCAUGUUCGUCCGAUUUCCUUGGUUGAACAGUUUUUCACUCCCUCUAUAAAUACCCCUGUCUCUUCCUCCCUUCACUUUCACCUCGCCCGCGCUCUCUCUCCCGCUCGAGCUUCCCAAAACCCUAGCACCGCUGCUACUUCAUCGUCUCCAGUGAGGAAGAGCUUCACUGCCUCGACCUCGUCGUCGUCGUACUCGCGUCGGUUGCGGAUUUCUUCACUCCGCCGCCGCCGUAGCCGUCUUCCUCUGCCGAGUUAGGGCGUGGAAGAUCUGACCCGACGAACUUCACUUCUGUUCUUCCCAGUUCGUCGUGUUCUUCACUUCAGGUAAUUAAAAGUUACUUUUAACUGCUUGCUUUGAUUCUCAAGUUUUCCUAAAAUCUUCAAAAGUGUUUAUUCUUCAAUUCUUCACACACAUAAACACCUCACAUGUCAACUGCUCUUGAUUCGUUUCUCUAAGCAAUGAUUUUCUUCAAGAUUCCUCAAUUGUGUGGAUUUUCACUCUACACAACUCUGGAACCUAAGACAAAGAACGCUUAGUGAAAUUCCUCAAGACUCAUCUGGUUAAAUUCCUCAAAACCUAUUCUUUUUGAAAAACCUUCUGAGAACACAUAUGACUUCUCCAAAUUCCUCGCAACUAUACUCUGUUCACAGGUACAAAUGUCCGAACUAGGUUCUCAUCAACUUAACUCAUUUGCAGCGUUCCUCGAAGAAAAGUUGCAUACCUCUUCAGAAACUUCAGUUGUUCAUAUUCCUCAGCUGAAGAAAAUGGGUGACAAAAGGCCACAGAAGGGAGGAAAGAGGCCUGAGGUCAAUACUGCGUUUGAAAUCCCUGAGGACAUAUAUAAGGACUACUACACACCUAAUGAAGCCAAAUUCGGCAAAGAGGACAAGAAUCAGCGCAAGGUGCGCAUACAAAGGAUAGAGAGGAGAUGGGCACGAGAAUGGAGGGAGUACAGAUAUGUCACUCCCAAGUAUAUGAAGAAAUUCACACUCAACCCUCCAUGCCCAAGACCUCCAUUGGCACCAGGCCAGUUGGCAGAUCCCACCAGCCUCAAGCGCGGUGAGGAUUAUCCUGAUGAAUGGGCAAAGCGCCAAGCCAAAUUGGCUAAGCAAGCAAAGGACGCAGUGAAGAAAUUCAACACAGACUCUGCUGCUGCUGCUGCCUCUGCUAAGGCCUCUGCUAGUCAGCCAAAGAAGGCAAUGCACAAGAAGCCUGCACAUAAAUCCAGUACUUCACCUUCAAUGCCCUCAGGGCCAAGCUCCUCUGCUAUGCCAUCAAGGCCAGAUUCCUCAAGGCCCUCAUGGCAAAUUCCUCAGACUGCUCCUUCAAAGUCCUCAGCUCCUCCGUCAAAGUCUUCAGCUGCUCCGACAAAAUCCUCGGCACCUAUGCAUCUCGCCACGUGCCAAAGGACCCAAGGCUUCUCUAUUGCCUCAGGAGCAUCUGCAAGCUCCUCAGCUGCUCGGAAUUCCUCAGCUGGUCCCUCUCUGCUGAAGAAAAAGGCCACUGCUGGACGAGGCACUCGCCCAAGUCCUCACAAGAAGCAGGUCGCCUUCCAUGUACCCUUUGAUGAUGAUGAGGCUGAUGAUGAAGAACUUGCCGAAAUCAUCAAAGACAGGCAAGCCAGGGCCGCUAGAGCCAAAGGCAGCACUGUGCCACUGAUGCUGGAUCCAAAGUUGAUCCUUGACUAUAUUGACCUGUGGCACAAGGAUCCUAACACACCUUUGCCGGAUAUGAACCUCACUCCUGGUCAAAGUCAUGUUCUUACUGCCUUCAUUGAAGAAGAAAAAUGGAAAUUUCAUCAAGGCAGAAGUUUGAAGACAAUGUCCUCACUCUCACUCCUGAUCAGCUCCUUGCCUUGCAAGUUGAAAUCUAACAGCUGAGUGAUGAAUUUGAUCACUACCAUGCUGAUUGGAAGGGCGCCAAGGUGCGUUUCGUCAAUCUGACAAAGAAAUUCACUUCAAGUGUUGCUCCACCUGUGCACAUUGAAGUUACUCAGGCUGAGGCAUCUGCUCAGCCUACUGAAGAACAUGCCAGCACCGCUGAUGACAAUCAGGCUGCUGAAGACCAUGAGAGUGCCAGGGCUGAUGACUCCAUUCCAGCCGCUGAAGAUAUUGCCAGGGCAUCCACUAGUGAUGCGCCUGAGGGAAGUGAACAAAUCAGGACAACUGCAUCAGUUGUGCCUGAGGAAAAUGAACCAAAUUCCUCUGCACCUCCUGCGCCUACACCAACCCCAAUCCUUCCAUCUGCAUCAGAUGCGAAGAAGACCAAGGCUGCAGAAUGUGCAGCUGUGAAGAAAAGGAAGGCAUCAACUUCCUCAAAUUCUUUAGCUCCGAAGAAGAUGAAGACUCUGAUCAGUUCAAUUGACAAUCCAAUUGAUGCCGUUCCAGUCUCAUCAAUGCCAUCAAAGGAUCUUGUUCCAUUUGGUGAAGAUUAUGUGAUUCCUGAUGAAUCUGAUGAAGAAUCUCCUUUUGCUGCUACGUCAGAGCAGUUGGACGAAGAAAUUGAAGUGGAUAAUAUCCCUUCAAACCCAGCCAUUUCCUCACCUUUGCCUUAGUUUACUGCUGAAGAGGCAGGUGUUGAAGAAAUUGAAGAGGAGGAUGUGGACAUUGGUUGUACCACUCCUGUGCUCAAUGAUGAAUUUUGGGACAAUCAACAUCCCAACUCUUCAAUGUCCACUCCCCUUCAAGAUAUUCCUCAGUCCCCUACCACCACUGAAGUGCAAAUGGGAUCUGAAGAACCUCAUGCAACCCCAAGUAUUCAUGAAGAAAUUCCAGCCACUAGUGCUGAAGAAAUUGUCAAUGAAAAAUUGAAGACCCAGGCUGAAGCUGCAAAAGAGCCUGAAAUUCCUCAGCCUGAGGAACCUGAGAUUGCGAUUCCUGAAGUAGUGCUGCAAUUGACUGACACUCCUCAGCCCAAGCCAAAAGGAUCCUUUCUCCAAGAAGCAAAAAUUCAAGGCUGAUGAUUUCUUUGGCGAGCACGUAUUCUUCAUAGAAUUCAACCCCUAUGACAAUGCUCGUCUUAGAAGGAAGCAUUUCUGGACUGCCAGCCAGGCCAACUUCUAUUCCUUAGUGCUCUUCAACAAGGACAAAGUCUUCGAUCAUGAGCAUAUUCCUCAUGUGGACAUGGAAUCCAUGCCUUGCUUCUCUCAAGUCCUCAACAUGAUUCAUGACGCCGGCUUGCUCAAUUUCUGCUCUAACAUAGUUGAUUGGAAUGAAGAACUUAUUCUUCAGUUCUACGCAACUUUGCAUAUCACAGGCGAUGUUGCUGACGUCAACUCAUGGGUGUUGAACUGGAUGACUGAAAACACUUAUUACAGGCACCAGCCUCUGAAUUGCUUCGUGCCCUACCAAUCAGUCCUCCACCUGAUGGUGCUCGUUGUCUGUAUGAUGAGCCUGAACUCACCGAUCACUAUAUGCAAGUGCUCAUGAAGCCGCUGAAGCCGGGACAAGCUCCAAGGACCAAAUUCCUCGUGAAGGAAUUGCUCUAUGUGCCAAGAACAAUCUACCGCAUUCUGACGAAGACCAUGAGUCCCAUCAAAGGCCAUGACUCAUCCGAUGAAGAAAUUAUCGGAAUGAUGAAGAACAUGCUUUUCAACAUCAUGCAUGGCAUUCCCAUAAAUUAUCAUGAUUUCUUCAUGAGGACUCUGGCGAAUGUUGCACUUUCUCCAUUUGAGCUGAAGCCUUACGCGCCGUGGAUCAUGAGAUUCCUCAGAACAAGGUCUUCACUCAACUACAAGGCUGAUUUUCAGAAUCACCUCAGCUACUUGCCCCCUAUUAAAGUCCUCAAGUGGACAAUUUCCUCAUCUGAUGAGAAGGGCAAGUCACCAGCCGUUAUCGAUGAAGGCAUUCGUCCAUUGGAUGGUCAGUUCUGCAAAGCUGCAUCUUACUCCACCAAUGAUGACUCUGCCACUCAUGAUACUACUGCCAAUGCUACCAAGACAAGUCCUCAAGCUACUGCUCCUCGUGUGCUGACUGAUCGUGAACUGCUGAUAAGUCUUCACCAGAAGGUGGAUCGCAACCACAAGUGGGUUAAGCGUCAGUUUGGUUCUAUUCUUCACAACAUGACUUCCACACAUAAUGCAGUGAAGAAAAACCACUACUACCUCCAUGAAGUGUUUGAUCGCACCUGGGCUAUUCUGUCACAUCUAUAUGGUGAAGAAGAUCUAAAGCAAAUGGGCUUCAAGGAAGACUUUGACUGGUCUGCUCCUCCACCAAAGAGAUUCAAGAGGGUCAAGGUUCCUUCCGUGGUGGCCAGCUCAUAUUCUUCAUCACGCGCCACGGACGAGCAUGAAGACUUGGACAACACUGCAGCAGGCCCUACAUCGACUCAAGACCCUGACAAUGCUGGUGCUCCUCCAUCUUCAUGAUAUUCUUCAGGGGCAUUAGUCCUCAGUUUCAACCCUUUUGGUCAUUCGAUGACAAAGGGGGAGAAAAUUUGAGUUAGUCUUCAAGCGGGUCUAUCUUAUAUGGGUGUUUUUAGCUAAGUUACAACUCUCGUUCUUCUGAUGACUUUGCUGGAUCGAGUUGUAAUCUUAAACUCUAUGGUGACCUGAUACUUUUGAUGUGUUCUUCUGCAUGCUUAUUCCUCAUUAAUGUUAAUGCACGCAUGCUGAAUUACAUCAGUCACCAUAUUUCAUUAUGCAUUUCAAAUUCUUCAUAUUAUAUGUCAAAUGCGUGUAUGAAUUACAAGAUAUAGGGGGAGAUCUCCAUGAUUAUACUCUUCAAAUGUGCAUUGCUUCAAAAGCAAAUUCCUCAUAUGCACAUCUUCAGGGGGAGUUCUUCUAUAUCUUGCAAUCAAAUUCCUCAAUAUCAGUAUUUACACUUCACAUGUUUAUCCCCGUUGAAAACUUAACCUAUAUUGUCAUCAAUCACCAAAAAGGGGGAGAUUGUAAGUGCAUCUAGUGCCCCAUAGUGAUUUUGGUGUAUUGAAGACUUAUAGGUUAAGGGACUGAUGCGUUUGUGAGUGUACACAUGUCUAUAAGUCUAUGAGGAGUUUGAUAUUUACAGAGAAAGUCGACCCCUAAAAAUGACGUUCUUCAACUGAAGACUUUGGAUCUCUGAAGACUUUCUGAAGACUUUGAAAGUGAAGAAAUUGGUGUGACCUUGAAGACUAGGAAACCAUUCGAGGAACAUGAAGCGUGAAGACUUUUGUUUUCAUAGUUUCAUUUUCUCUUUCUUGAGUCAUAGGAAACAUCGUACUGUUAAAGGGGUCGAGGAAAUACUAAGGAAAAAUUUCCAUGUGAUGCUCAACUCAAAAUCCUACACCUACCAAUCCCUUCGAGUGAAGCCAAUGGAAAUCUCAUACAGUUCAGUCAUAUUCUUCAGUGACAGAGACAAAGUUCUUCUGGUCCCUGAGGAAUUUGUUCUGACUGAGGAGUUAGGAAUUCACCAGUGUGAAUUGCCUACACAGUGAGGAGCAUGAUAGCCCUGAGGAUUUUGAUAGUCAAAAUUCCGACCGUUGCUGUGCUAUGCGCCAGCGGUUCCAAAAUAUCUACCCACCUAACGGUCAUAUCAGACAAGGGCAUUUAUGUCUUAUCAUGUCGGGCUGCUCCCUAGGCUAUAAAUAGCCGCCCCCUUCAACCACUAGCUGGUUGGCUGCUCUGAGAGAAACUGACACUUGUCAAUUGUGAGCAUCCCAUCCUCCGAGGGCUUUGAGCGAAAAUCAUCAAGUGAGGAAAACCCAAAAACCCAACACCUACAAACCCAAAGUGAUUGAGCAUCACUGAAGAGAUUGAUCCUGCGUGGAUCCAACGCUUGUUUCCUUUGAAGACGGUGCUUCUUCCAGACGGUUUGGCGUCAAGGUCUAGAGCAUCCAAGAGGAAUUGUGGAUCGCCGAGUGACUGAGUUUGUGAAGGUUCGGAAGUCACAUGAAGACUUACCACGAGUGAUUGGGCGAGGUCUGUGUGACCUUAGCUCAAGGAGAAUACAGUGAGGACUGUGUGUCCGGGACUGGGCAUCCUCGAGUUUAAAUACUCAGCCGCUCCAACCAGAUGUACAACUGGGACAGCAGUUGGAACCGGUCUACCAAAACAUUGUCUUCACCAAGCUAACUGGUUCUAUUUCCUCAACUCUUUCAUUUCCUCAUGUAUGUUGGUGUGUGCCUGUUCAUAUCUGUUUGAAGACUUUGACUGAAGACUUUCUCAAUUUCCUCAGAUCAAUUUCUUCAGUCUGUCCGUCUUCUUUCUUGUGCUAUCCUAUGUUUACGCUUUCUGUACUCUGUUCUUGUCUUCAUUUCAUCAUGAUGACUAUGCUUGUGUUCUAUUAUGUUUACUUCUGAGUACUUAUUCCGCUGCUAGUAGUUCUUAUUUUAGGAAUUUCCUCACCAGCAAAUUCCUCAGUGAAGAAUUCAUAAAAAUCGCCUAUUCACCCCCCUCUAGUCGAUAUAACGCACUUUCACUUGUGCGCUAGAUUAUGGAUCUAGUUGGGACGACAAUUUGCCAUAUGCAGAGUUCUCUUACAACAACAAUUAUCAAUCCAGUUUGAAGAUGGCCCCUUUCGAAGCCUUGUACGGAAGGAGGUGCGGGACCCCAUUGUCAUGGGAUGAAGUUGGAGACUGCCAGUUGUUUGGACCAGAUUUGAUUAAGGAGUCUGAACAGAAGGUGAAGUUGAUUCGCGAUAGGCUCAAGGUAGCCCAGUCCAAGCAGAAGAGCUAUGCAGAUUCUAAACGCAAGGAGACAGUUUACGAAGUCGGAGAUAGCGUUUAUCUUCGUGUAUCUCCACUUCGAGGAGUUAAGCGCUUUGGAGUUAAGGGAAAGUUAGCUCCACGUUUUGUGGGACCAUACAAAGUUUUGGAACGUAUGGGAGAAGUUGCUUACAAAUUGGAAUUGCCCGAAGAAUUGUCAGGAGUUCACGAUGUGUUCCACAUUUCCCAGUUGAAGAAGUGCCACGCAGAGAUGGCUGAUAUACCGCUGAGAGAUACAAUGCCGCUGGAAGCAAUUCAGUUGGAUAAUGAUUUGACUUAUGAGGAGAAACCAGUCAAGAUUCUCGAGUAUGCCAGCCGAGUCACCCGCGGUAAGGUUAUCAAGUUUUGCAAGGUUCAGUGGAGCCACCACACCGAGGAUGAAGCCACCUGGGAGCGAGAGGAAGAUCUGCUGAAGGACCACCCUCACCUAUUUUCUAGCCAACCCGAAUCUCGAGGGCGAGAUUCAUCUUAAGGGGGGUAGGUUUGUAACAUCCCAAAUUUUCAAUUUGGAAUGUUAUACACUAGAUCAUCAUUGCAUAUCAUAUUUUUUUGCUUUUUGGCCUGAUCUAGAAAUUCUACGCAACUUAAGGACCCUCGGAGAGAGUUGGGAUUUUCGUUAUUUUCAUAUUUGAGUUUUCUCAAAUUUUGAAAAUAGGAUCAUUUGAUUUUUUUUAUUUUGUCUUCAAAUAUCUCUUUUAAAAAAAUAUGAGAGAGGGAAUAAACUGACUUCCCCAAAAUAAAGAAAUAUUGAGGAUUUAAUAAAAAAUCAAAUAAGAUUUAUUUCGGAGUUUUUGCUAUUUUAUUUGAAUUUAGGAAAAAAUGCACGAUUUUCAAAACUGCAUUUUAGGGCCAAGAAAAUGUUGAUCUCGUUCUAAAUAUUUUAUUUAGACGGUGAAAAUUUGUUUUGGCAUUUUUAGAUUUUUAUUUAUUUUUCGAGGAUUUAUUUUUUGUUUGGCGGAAUUUUUUUAAAAAAAAAUAUGCGCGCCUGACUCGGCCGAAGUCCCAGCCGAGCCGGCCCGCGCCGCCGCCGCCUUCCGCAUCCAGAUCGGGACCGGAGUCCCGAUCGCCGCCGCCGCCGUGUCCGAGCCAGCCCCGCAACCGCCUUGCCCCCUCCCCAAGCCACUGCCGCCCCACUUUAUAAACCGACCCGGGGGCCCCCUGGAGCCCCAAGCCGGAGCCGCCACUGUCGCAAACCACCGCCGCCGCAAGCCGCCGCCUUGCGCCGCCGCUGCCAGGAGCCGCCGCCGCCGCCUGUCGCCGCUGCCCCGCCUUCCCACGCCGCCCCGCAGCCCCACCGGACUUCGCCGGAGCCCGAGCCGAGGUAGCUGCCCCGCCGCCCCGGUUUUCUAAAGAAAACCGAUCCGUUUUUUAGAAAACCCUAGGUUUUAUUUUUUUAGAUCGGUUUAUUUAUUUUUUCGGUUUAUUUAUUUAGCGUGCAUUCGCUCGUUCCUUCAUUUUAACGGACGAGUUCAUCGUUUAGUUUCAGUUAACGAACGUUCAUUCGUUAAUCUGUUCGUCAGUUUUUCUUUUUCUCGGAUUUUUCCGUGAUUAUUUCUGAUCGCGAUUUAUGAUCUAAUUUUCGUUCUAGUAUAACUUUUCGCUCGUUUAUCGGAAUCAGGCGAUUCAAGCGCCUAGAGUUUCGUCUCGAAACCCUCUUCCGUUUAACCAACUCAAACAAGUUUUUGUUUCUGUAAAAUUUAACUUAGAUCCAGAUUAGUAAAUGAAGCUUGUUUCUUUCGUCGUUUGACUUUCGUUGCUUCAUUUGAUUUGUUUCUUUUUGCAAACCGGAGUUCUUAAGUUGAACUCUCUGGUUAGUUAUCUUAUUUGAGUUUUACCUGUGCAUUAGAUGAGUGCUUAUUGUAUGCUUGUUUGUUUGCGAUAGAGUACCCGGAGUGUGCCGCUUGCUACUUCAAAUCUCUAGGUUUCACGGAUCAUCAGCAAGGCAAGUAACACUUUGAUCAUACCUCUUUACUGCCUAGUUUUAUUGCAUUAGAUCAAUCCUCAAACAAUUGCAUGGUUAGGAUCUGACCAAAUUGUGGGUUUUGGGAAGUAGAUGAGGUAGUACCUAUUUCCUGUUUUAUUAUCAAACCCAUGGGAGUUACUUUUACGUUUGCUUAUUAUGCCAUGCUAUGCUAGUAGACGUGGAUUGGGUGAAUGUAUCCAUGACAGAUGUGAGAUUGAUAUUUAUUGAUUUAUUUAAGGUGGCAACUUUAACACACAUCUGGGUGGAUUGAGGCACCUGGGUAUUCGAGCAAUUGCCUGUUUUUCUUUAUGGGCCGCCACCCGGGCUCAAAGGGAUCAUGAGAUUAUUGAUGCUAGAAACUUCCGUGUGCAGCCACAAGCUACUAUGGGCUCUAGCAUAGUUGAUUAAGUCGUGCAAACUCUUACAGUGGUAGACUAGCAGAUGUAGGGGAAAGUAGGUGUAACUGUCUACCCGAUCGUAAGGUGCUAGUGCUUCUGAAAGACUAUGCCUCGGUCAUCCCUUUCUCAAACACCAUGUAGUGCGAGAAAUCCAACGGAGGAGAUCGAGUCUUGUGGGGAAAAGUGUGCAAACCUCUGUAGAGUGUAUAAACUAAUCAUGGUUAGCCGUGUCCCCGGUUAUGGACGUUUUGAGUAUCUAGUACUUGGAUUAUCAUGUGAAUCUCAUCAUGUUACUUUAAUUAAUUAUGUUGGGUUUAAUGAUGAUGCUCAAUUGGGAUUGAGAGGAUGUCUAUCUUCUCAAUGUUUAACAACCACCAUGAUAGUUAAAUAAAAUUUAUUCCUUUGCAGUAGGGAAAAAUUGGCUUUAUGCAAAAAAGCUGUAACCAUAGAGCUUUCCACCAGCCAUAUAUGCAUGUAGUAUAGCAUAUUUCUGUUCAUUACUCUCUAUGUGUUACAUUGCCAGCAUAUUCCAUGUGCUGACCCGUUUCCGGGCUGCAACGUUCAUGUUGCAGACUUUUCAGACGACGAGUAAGGUGCCUUAGGUCGUGGUUCUAUACUCAGUGAUGCCGUUGGAGUUGAUGGACUCACUUUCUUCCAAGCCUUCCGCAGUUAUCGUUAUUAGAUGGCCUUAAGCCAUAUUUAUUGUAAUAAGUUCUCUUUUGAGACAUUCGAUGUAAUAAGUGUGUGAUUGCUACUCUGUUAUAAAUCCUUCAAGUACUGUGCUGUCAGCAUUACUGAUCCAGGGAUGACACUAAAGCAUAGAGAUCAGAUUGUUUGAGGUCUGGUCGCUUCAAGGGCGUCAGGCGCUUUUUGUGUGUGCAUGUGUAUGUGUGACUGUUGCAUGCACGCUGAUGUCUACUAUGCAACUUUAUUCUUGUAGACUCGUGUUUUGUAGGAUAGUAUCAGUUUUCCCUCAAGUGGAUGACCUAAGGUUUAUCAAUUCGUGGGAGGUGUAGGAUGAAGAUGGUCUCUCUCGAACAACCCUGCAACCAAAUACAAGAAAUCUUUUGUGUCCCCAACACACCCAAUACAAUGCAAAUUGUAUAGGUGCACUAGUUCGGCGAAGAGAUGGUGAUAAGAGUGUAGUAUUGAUGGUAGAAAUAUAUUUUUAUAAUAUGAAUAAAUAAAAACGGGAAGGUAGAAAAUAGUAAACGGGCACAAAAACAGUAUUGCAAUGCUUGAAAUGAGGCCUAGGGUUCGUACUUUCGCUAGUGUAAUCUCUCAACAAUGCUAAUAUAAUUGGAUCACAUAGCCAUCCCUCAAUGUGCAAUGAAGAAUCACUCUGAAGUUCUUAUCUAGCGGAUAACAUAAGAAGAAAUUGUUUGUAGGGUACGAAACCACCUCAAAGCUAUUCUUUCCGUUUGAUCUAUUCAAGAGUUUGUACUAAAAUAACACAAAGCUAUUUUUUCCAUUGGAUCUAUCCUAGAGUUCGUACUAAAAUAACACCAAAUAAUUUCAGAUUCAUAAUACUCAAUCCAACACAAAGAACCUCAAAGACUGCCCCAAGAUUUCUACCAGAGUAGCAAAAGACGAGAACAUGCAUCAACCCCUAUGCAUAGAUUACCCCAAUGUCAUAGCGGGAAUCCGUGAGUUGAAUGGCAAAACACACAUCAAGUGAAUCAAUAUGAUGCCCCAUUGUCACCAUGAGUAUUCAUAUGCAAGAUAUAUAUCAAGUGCUCUCAAAUCCAUAAAACUAUUCAAUCCGAUAACAACGAAAUCUCAAAGGGAAAAACUCAAUUCAUCACAACAAGAUAGAGAGGGGAAAACACCAUAUGAUCCGACUAUAUUAAUAAAUCCCAUGAUACAUCAAGAUCGUGACAUCUCAUGAACACAAGAGAGAGAAGAUUCAACACAUAGCUAUUGGUACAAACCCUCAACCCCGAGGGUGGACUACUCCCUCCUCAUCGUGGUGGCCGUCGGGAUGAUGAAGAUGGCCACCGGUGAUGAUUCCCCCCUCCGGUAGGGUGCCGCAACGGGGUCUAGAUUGGAUCUCGUGGAUACAGAGGCCUUGCGGUGGUGAAACUUCUGAUCUAGGGCUACCCCCAGGGCUUUGGGAAUAUUUGGGAAUUUAUAGGGCGAAGAAGGGGUGCGGGAGGCCACCAAGGUGGGCACAACCCACCUAGGCGUGCCUGGGCCUUGAGGCGCGCCCUGGUAGGUUGUGCCCCCCUCGGGGCACCCCCCAGUGCUGCUCUGGCCCACUAGUGUUCUUCUGGUCCAUUUGAUAUUGAAUUCCUGCGAUGUAAAAACAAGCAAAAAACAGCAACUGGCACUGGGCACUGGGUCAAUAGGUUAGUCCCAAAAAAUGAUAUAAAGUUGCCAUAAAAUGAUUGUAAAACAUCCAAGAAUGACAAUAUUUUAGCAUGAAUACUUCAUAAAUUAUAGAUACAUUGGAGACGUUUCAGCAUCCCCAAGCUUAAUUCCUACUCGUCCUCGAGUGGGUAAAUGAUAAAAGAAAUAAUUUAUGAAGUGUGAAUGCUAGCAAAGUGCAUAAGUUUGAUCAAUGAUAAAUUCAAUCACUUUUCCUAGCAUAAUAACAACAAUACUUUCCUAUAAAACUUCUCAUGUUAAAUUAGCAACCAAUUCACAUGUUAAGGUUCAAACAAUGAAUUCUCUUGAAACUCAACAACCUAUGUUCUCAGUCACCAAGCAAUUGUAAUUCAACUUAUUCAACAGAGUUUAAGUAAGAGCUCCACAUACUCAACCAUCAUAUAGUCUUCUAUGAUUGCUAACACUUGCCGCAUACACAUGAGCAAAACGUUUCAACCAGACACAUAGAAAGAUAGGGGCUUAUAAUUUCGCCUCCCAACGUAUUCACCUCAAGGGUGAUAUCAACAAUAAUAAAUCAUGCUACCCAUAUUCAACUGGACAUCUGUUCCUAGAUCUUUCCUCACCACAAGAUGCUUGCCAAAGGAGAAAAGUAAAAAGGAAUAGAGAGAAAAACUUUAACUCUUGCAUAAAAGUAAAUACGAAAGUAAAAGAUAGGCCCUUCGCAGAGGGAAGCAUAGGUUUCCAUGCACUUAUUUGUUUGUAUGUCAACCCCUUAGUGCAAAAGAACGCCAGGUUGUAUUUCCCCUUGUGAUGGCAACCUUUAUUAUGCAGUCUGUCGCUUUUAUUCAUCACCAUCACAAGUUCGUACAAUGCUCAAUUUUCUCUUACACUAAAUGAUCUCACACUUUUAGAAGCAAUUUUUAUUGCCUUAUUGCACCGAUGACAACUUAAUUGAAGGAUCUUACUCAAUCCUUAGGUAGGUAUGGUGGACUCUUGAAAAUAAGAUUUGGGUUUAAGGGUUUUUGGAUGCACAUGUAGUAUCUCUACUUGGUGCGGAGUUUUUGGCUAGCAAAGAUGGGGGGCAAGCACCACAUGUUGAAGGAUCUAUUGCAAUAUAACUUCUAUGUGAAUAUGAACAAACAUAAAUCAUUACGUUGUCUUCCUUGUCCAACGUCAACAAUUUUGGCAUAUAAUAUUUUGAUGGGGGCUCACAAUCACAAAAGAUUCCCAUGAUAGUGUAUUUGCAUGUGAAAGUUCUCUUCCUUAUAGUAAUCAUUCCGGAAUUGCUUGUAUGACCAAUAUUGUGAUUGUGAAGCUUCAAAAGAUUUCACUUUCUAAACCCAAUGUGAAGCUAGCACUAGGCAUGAUAUGAACAUUUGAUUUCAACUUCAUUACAUUCAAUUUAUUCAACAAUUUACUCAUAGGAUAUAAGUGAAGCAUGUCGGUGUUAAAACCGGCUGAUCUCAGGUAGGGGGUCCCAAGUUGUGUGUCUUAGGAUCGAUGUAACAUGGACAUGGGAUUUUACCCAGCUUCGGGCUCUCUCGAAGAGAUAAUACCCUACAUGUUGCUUGAUUGACUUUGAUGAGUAUAGGGGUUACAAGAGUUGAUCUACCUCGAGACCGCAUGUUGUGGCCUAAACCUGAGGGUAUGAUGAAUAAUCUCAUGAUCUAGCAUAUCCCUAUCGACUAGCCCGGCCUCAGCUUAUAUAAUGUACCAGAUGCCUAGGAUAACAAGAGUCCUAGUCGAAUACGUCGGUGGAGAGGAGUCCGUGUCUUGAUAACCAAGUCUCGUGGAAUCUUCCUCAUGUAUACAUCGACUGUUCGAACUGGCCCAUGAGUAAAUGGCCAUGGGGGUCCUCGGCCCAAUCCAACUGAUCGGGAGACGACAUGGUGAGUACCCCCUAGUCCAGGACACCGUCAGUAGCCCCCUGGACCGGUCUUCAAGUUUGGGACGCUCCUCGGUUCUUUCGAACUAUUCUUCGUCUUUGGUCGUCGGUCUUGAAAACUGGUUCACCAAAUCUUCCCAUCUUCUAUUUUGAGGAUUGCUAAGCUAAAUCUUAAGAUCUCACACAUCGGGUAUCCGAGGAGCCCUUUAAGUCUUUGGUCUUUAUCAAUGCCUUGUUAUUUUUAUGCCACAACUCAGGUUUGAAGUGUUUGUCGUGCGGUAGUGUCCUCUUGCAUCCGAGAUCCAACACCGGACUGCAUUCGAGGUAUCUUUUGCAGCCAGGCACCAAUGCCAGACCGCUUCCGAGCUCCGACGCCGGAAUGUAUCCGAGCUGCAACGCUAGACUGUAUCCGAAGAGUCUUGUUACAGCUGAGCUCCAAUGCCGGACUGCAUCCGAGCUCCAGCGUCGGACUAUAUCCGAGCUCCAAUGCUGGACUAUGUCCAAGCUCCAACGCCGGACUGUAUCCGAGCUCCAACGCCAUACUAUAUCCAAGGUGUCAUAGAUCACCUUGGUUCAAAAAAGUUGAAGGAGUUUAGCCGAGCUUAAUGCCAGAAAUGCCCUCUAUGGAGCCAGCCACUUGCAUCCGAGCUAUGUCCCGAAAUGCUUUCGAGGUGGUUCAGCACCUCGGUCAUGGGCUGAUUGUUUGCGGAUUUUAUUUCCGAUGCGUGUAAAUUUAUUUGCUGCCAAUAUGUAUAACCAAUAGCCCUCAAGGUGUGUGUCAGUCUAAAACCCGAGAUGCACCUGAAGGAAAACAUGAAACCGCUGAUCCUAGUAGCCCCUGAGACUCAGGUCGAUUAACUAAAUCGGCCUGAGGAUCAACUCCUAGCUCGGUAGCAUACAUAGGAAUAGAAACACAGUGUAAUAUAUUAGAGGUAAUAGUGAUCGGCGGAUGGGGCCCUGAGAGAGGGUAGUGAGAAGUCACCGUGAUAUAUUAGCUUGAUGCCGCAUAAGUCCCAGAUGGUACUUAUUGUUGUCCGAAGAUGCGCUUGUCCAUAGUUCAGUCAUGUCGAACACUGAGCACUUCGAAUUUUCUGCAUUGAAUAGGCAAUGCAAUAGCCCUCGAGUAACUGGUCAGGUGGCAACACCAGAUCAGAGGAUCAAUGUGCCCCUUUAAUAUUUAUAAAUAAUUAGCGCAAAGCCUAGUAGCCCCCGAGCCUUAAUGUGGGCACGGGUGGCCGAAUUAAGGAUCGAUAUCCAUUUGACAAAAAAAUUGUUGUGUUUAACACAAACUUCUCGGAAAGAGAAUAAAGAUCUCAUAAAGGAGUUAGAGCUAACGAAAGCUGAGCUCACCAAUGUCGGCCUUACGGGGCUUAAUAGAUAGGAAAUCAAUGCCAAUAAGGAACUAUGAGAAAGUUACAUCAGUUGCUUGAUUGUCUCAAAGAGACUAUGCCAUUGAUUUUCGCUCACAAUUUAUGUGUAACGAUUCUAUGUACCCAAGUACUUUACAUCAUUAAUGCUCGGAUCCGCAUUGUACAAAACUUUGUUGACCGACCAUCGGCUUCGACCUCCUCGGCCAGUAGCCAUGGAGUGUUUGUCCCACUUUAUAAAGCCUAAUGGCAAAAGAUUUACGGAAAACAAGGCAAUCGGGCCAUACGGUUUUAUAAACAAAGGUACACAGAGAGAUAGGUUAUAAAACAUCUUCUGGGAAAAAUAGUUCAUUAUAGGUUUCUUUUCCAAGGCUGUCAUGUUAAUUAUGAUCAUGAAACCUCAACUCCGAUCAAUGUGGGAGGAAAAUAUGGAGGAUUUAGUUGGGGGGAGUUCCCGAAGUCUGUGGUCCACAAAAGGAACUGAAAUUUUCACUUCCAUUCUUGCUGACCAAUUAUAUCCUUUAAGAUGGCUAGCUUUCGGCUUCACCCAGUCUGAGGUACCAACCCAGAUGACCCGGUAGUAACAAUCACAAAGGUGCACCCUUUACCACCUAGGCGAACAAUUGGGAACGUAGUGGUAAGCACAGGAGCCAGGCAACCCAGCUUGGCCAUAAACUUAAGUCAAAUUUGAUGCAUAUUUAUGGCUUUAUGAUGAUGAUUAUGGAAGGCAGCGCUUGUAUACUGAAUACAAAUGCUGAUGAUAUGUUUAUUUUGACUCCGUUGCGACUGUUUAUCAGUUGAAAGUGGCCCAUCGUCGGUUUCUACCCCUUUGUAGAUACUACGUAGGGUGUUUCAGCAAGAACAAGACAACCCUUAGCCAACGUCUCAGUGCCCGGAGGCGGUUGUGUUAUCGGAAAUGAGGCAUUUAGAUAUGCGGGCUUUAUAACUUUCACUUAGUCAUAGGAGCUUAAAGUUGGGAGGCCAGCUACUAGCCCCUGGUUAGUGUUUGGCGGCGGCCGAGGUCAGGCCGCAAACACUUCGGCCAAUAUUAUGAACGGCAUGUCAUUUAACACGGGGUGACCUCUAUCGAUCUUAUAGUUUAAUACAGUCAUCGGAUCAUUGACCAGUUUACGCUUAUUGUGAUAGUCAGUUUUUGGCUUUCUCCACUAAGGCGCUUAACCAUGCGAGCUGGAAGCACAAUCGCAGUGGUUCUCCCUUUGCACACCUAGCCGAACAGAGCGGAACGUAGGAGGCAAGCACACGAGCCGGGCAACCCAACUAUUGACCAAAGACACAAUUCAAAAGUGAUGCAUAUAAAGAAAUAUCCGAGAACAUUUUGCCGAGGACUCCUCGAAGUACCUUGGCCUUUGGUGGGUUCGGCUCAAGUCGCGGCCCCCCGUUGAUAUUGUUGAUGCUUAAAAAGUGUCCGGCAGUGUACUGUGGGAUUUAUGCUCAGACCCAGCACCAGGUGUAGGUCGGCAGGAAAAAGGCCGAACUAUGGGUCGAAAAAGAUUUCCCAAGAUGGAUUAUUAUGCAGGGUACCUCGGUCAAGAGGAUGUCCCGCCUCAUAAAAGAAAAACACACAAAUAGAUCAAAAGUGCCAUAAGCUUAAAAAGCCAAAAAACUUAUGCGAAAACUUUACGUGCGAACUAAAUCAAGUUUUGGUGCCAAUCCGAACAUUGGUCUUAAAAUUAGUUUGUGUUUCCGUCAUGCUUUAUCAUGACACAUCCGAUAUCGAGACUUUGAGCAGGUCAGCCUGCGGCUUCAACCUCCUAUCCAGAAGGCGGAGUGCUUCUCGUUAGGCCAGUCUAGCAAACUAAACUUAAGCAACUUGAGAGAGAAAUCAGGCUACCCGGCUAUUGACCACACACUCGUAUCGAAAAAAGGAGUGAUAAAAAAAGACUUUACAAUGAACAAGAAGAAAAACAUAUUUAUUAUAAACUGGCUCAUAUAAAUUUUAAGAGCCCCAGUUAACAUGGGUAAAGGGAGUUUCUUUUAAGAAACAACUCACGUGAGCAUGGUCGAACCGAACACAAAUUAAAAAUUUAAAAACUUUGAGCAUGAAAGCAACUUAGCUGAUUAAUGUGUUCAGCAUUGAUGACGCAGGUCGAGCUUGCAGUGGGUCGAGGUCCCAGCCCCCAAGUCAGUCCCGUGGUGCCCGAGCGAAGAGCCCGGCUUGAUGAAGUGGCGAUGCCGCACGGUCGAUGUGGCGAGCCGAAGCCCCUGGUCCAGCCAAGGUGAUGAAAGAAAAAAAAAGGUGUUCAACAAUCAACGUUUGAAUGAACAACUUUACUGUUUAACACAAGUAUAAUGUUUGGUUGAACCGAACAAGAAUUAAUAAAUUUAAAGAAAAGCUGAGCAUGGAGGCGACUAAGCUGGUUAGUGUACUCGGUAUUCUUGACGAGGUCCGAGCUCAUGGCGGGACGAAGACGUAGUCCGCAGCCUAGCCAAGGUCCCAGCCCCCAAGCCCGAGGUGGUUGAGCAAGGAGCUCGGCUUGAUGAAGCGGUGAUGCUGCACGGUCAAUAUGGCGAGGUGAAGCCUCCGGUCCAGCUAACGUGAUGAAGCUGGUCGGCUGGUGACGCCGAAGUCACCGGAGUAGGUUGAUGAAGAGAUGGCGAAGCCCCCGGUCUAGUCGAGGUGACGGGGCAGGUCGGUAGUGUGACGUUAGCAGCACCAUGCCAGCCGAUGUGUCGAAGCAGGUCGGCGUGGUGGACAUCGGCUUGAAGAAGCAACAGUGCGGCCAUGCUGACGCAGGUCGUAAUUUGUGACGCGGUCAAUGCCGGCUUGAUGAAGUCACCAUGCGGCGAUGUCGGUGUGCCCACUCCGUGUAAUCCGUGGGGCGGCGAUGUUGGUGAUAAUUUAUCCAUUGUGAUUCCGAACUCUUGUUCGGCUCGCUGAGAUGAUAAACCGAAGAAGUUGAGCUCGGCUCAACAAAGCGACGACGUGUCUAGCGCAGGUCGGCAGCCGUGGAGCAAUAUUUCCCGACUGGUUUGACACCAGCGUAAAGGUGAAGAUUACCUCGGAGGAGGCUUAAAAUUUUAUGGGCACGUGUUUAAAAACAACGCACAAUACCCUAGAAAAAAAUUCCUUCAAAAAGGUUGUCCAACAUCCCGUUCAUGAAGAAACAUGAACUCAGGUCGAAUUCGUAUUUGUGCAGAAAACAAAUCAAAAAUUGGUCCACUCAUCGGAAGGUUCCCGGAGAUUGAACGGGCGGAUCGAGCUAAAAUUUUGAGGAGUGGUAGAUAUGGGAAUUCCGCAGCCGAUCAAUGGUUGGAUCUUGCAAAAGACUUUCGAGCUAGACACUGGAACCCUCGCCCUAAACUCGUCUAGAUUCUCGUCCAGAUUCGAUAGGGCUCCAUCGUAGAUCGCCGGAUAUUCCUCCAUCAGAACGCAACAUUACAGGGUUGUCGUAUACUCAAUUCCGCACUAUUCCACCGAAGCAAUCGUCAAACCGAUGCUUGAGGAGGUGGUGACGGCGGAUACAAGUUUGUUGUCCAGAAGAGUGGCAUGGUCGCACGAGGGCAAUGUUGACGUUGAGCCCCCGGGCUCCAUGGAUGAUUCCUCCAUGAUCUUGAUAGAGAUCAGAGUUUGAUGAUGACGAGGACAUAUGUCCAAUCUUGACGAUCUGAAGAGGAGCCCGGUCCUCGGACCAGCCGAGGUGACCAGUCGAGCCGGUGAUGAAGACACCGACGUCGCAGUUGAUCUGUAGACCAGCCAUUGAUCCAUUGCCGAUCACACAGCAGAACUCUUAAUGAAAGCACCAUUGUUGGUGUCAAAACCGUCUGAUCUCGGGUAGGGGGUCCCAAGUUGUGUCUUAGGAUCGAUGGUAAUGUGGACACGGGAUUUUACCCGCUUCGGGGUCUCUCGAAGAGAUAAUACCCUACAUGCUGCUUGAUUAACUUUGAUGAGUAUAGGGGUUACAAGAGUAGAUCUACCUUGAGACCAUAUGUUGUGGUCUAAACCAGAGGGUAUGAUGAAUAAUCUCAUGAUCUAGCAUAUCCCUAUCGACUGCCUUGGCUUAUAUAAUGUACCAGAGGCCUAGGAUAAUAAGAGUCCUAGUCGAAUACGUCGAUGGAGAGGAGUCUGUGUCUUGAUAACCAAGUCUCAUGGAAUCUUCCUCGUGUAUACAUCGGCUGUCUGAACUGGCCCAUGAGUAAACGGUCAUGGGGGUCCUCGGCCCAAUCCAACUGAUUGGGAGACGACGUGGUGAGCACCCCCUAGUCCAGGAAACCGUCAACGCACAAGAGUAAAUGACAAAGUACUCCAAAAAGAUAUAAGUGAAGAUCAAGCGAGUAGUUAAGUAAAUAGGUAGCUAAUUGUGGACUCUCUCUUAUUUAAAAAGUUGCAGAUCUAAGUAAUUUAUUAAACCAGCAAGCAAAAAAAAA
rnacentral:lncRNA from 1 species